GUGGUUAGCGCACCUGCCUCUAACCCAGAGGUAAUGGGUUCAAGGCUCGUCGCUGCUAC
rnacentral:miRNA from 1 species